UACAGAGGUCCCAAGCGUUGUUCGGAUUCACUGGGCGUAAAGGGUGCGUAGGUGGUGAGGUAAGUUUGAUGUGAAAUCUCCGGGCUCAACCCGGAAAUGGCAUUGAAUACUAUCUUGCUAGAGGAGUGGAGGGGGGACUGGAAUACUUGGUGUAGCAGUGAAAUGCGUAGAUAUUGGGAGGAACACCAGUGGCGAAGGCGGCUCGCUGGACCGGUUCUGACGCUGAGGCGCGAAAGCGUGGGGAGCAAACGGG
rnacentral:rRNA from 1 species